CAUCCUGCCUUUGGACAGGCGGAGAUCAAAGCCGGGGACCGCAAGGCCUGGCGCUUGGAGAGGGGCCCGCGCCGGAUUAGCUAGUUGGUGAGGUAACGGCCCACCAAGGCGACGAUCCGUAGCCGGCCUGAGAGGGCGGACGGCCACACUGGGACUGAGACACGGCCCAGACUCCUACGGGAGGCAGCAGUGGGGAAUUGUUCGCAAUGGGCGCAAGCCUGACGACGCAACGCCGCGUGGAGGACGAAGAUCUUCGGAUCGUAAACUCCUGUCGAGCGGGACGAAAGAUCCGGGACUUAACACGUCUCGGGAGUGACGGUACCCGCUAAAGGAAGCCCCGGSUAACUCCGGCCAACAGCCCGCGGUAAUAC
rnacentral:rRNA from 1 species